rnacentral:lncRNA from 1 species
CCUUAACAGCCCAGCAUCACAAUGCUGGCUCUAAUACCGGGUGAGGAGGCUGAGAGUGUGGAGUUCCUCUGGCCCACAGGCCUGGCAUUCCCAGGGCUCCAGAAACUUGUCAAAGCAGGCCGUCUGGCUUCAGAGCCCUCCUUACUGAUCCUAGGGAAGAAAGAGCAGAAUGAAAAUACCACCCUGCGGCACCCACGGUGACAGAGUCCACGGGAACUUUGAUGUUAGAGACAAGCAGAGUUAAGAAAGGGCCAGGUCACGUCUCACCUGCUGCUAAUGUUCUACUGGAGCUCUCUGACCCUCUGUAUAGCGAGGACCACCAGGACUCAUCAGAAGCCACCAACAGAAGACCGCCUUCACCUUGUCCUUUGUUCUAAGCAUCCCUGGCCCUUCCUGCCAGGGACCAUCUCUGUGACAUGGUUCCCUAUGGCACCCCAAACUCCUGCUGGUCACUCAGACUCCAAACCCAUGCCCCGGUGACACAAAUUGCACACUUCAGCCAGCACCGCCUACAAAAUUAUCAGGGGAAGCGGAGGAACAACGAAUCCCUAACGUCCGUGGGAACAUAGCUCUAAAGCAGAGACUUGUGUACCCCAGCAUUUUCACUCGCCUUGUCCUGAAGGAAUACACCCCAUUAUUUUAACUACGCAUGUGGCUAUCCCAAACACUACUGUUUCCAGCUUCUUAUGCAGUUGAACAUAAUAAGAGCACAUGUCUGCCUCUGGCCAAUAAAUUAUAAAUGAAAACAGAAGAGAAACA